rnacentral:rRNA from 1 species
UACGAAGGGGGCUAGCGUUGCUCGGAAUCACUGGGCGUAAAGAGCUCGUAGGCGGCUUGUCGCGUCGACUGUGAAAAACCCGCGGCUCAACCGCGGGCCUGCAGCCGAUACGGGCAGGCUAGAGUUCGGUAGGGGAGACUGAAUUCCUGGUGUAGCGGUGAAAUGCGCAGAUAUCAGGAGGAACACCGGUGGCGAAGGCGGAUCUCUGGGCCUACCUGACGCUAAGGCGCGAAAGCUAGGGGAGCGAACAGG